AAAGUCGUAACAAGGUCUCCGUAGGUGAACCUGCGGAGGGAUCAUUAACACGUUUCCAAAAACGUUUACCAACCAAAAAACCGUGAACCUGAAAAAACUCCCUUCACACAAGACGAACAGAGAGUCAGGGUGGAGAACCGACGGCUGAACGGCUGGCGGGACUGCAAUCUGUUCUAGGAGCCUCGAGCUUCAUUCAUGUGUGAUGUGACCGUGCCACCACCUGGCAGACUGCAUUUUCAGUCUUCGGACUGGAUCUAAGCAGCGUCUGCCGAAACCUACUAACAAACAUUUUUAACCCCUUUAACCACAUACUAAUCUACUGAACCUUUUUUUACUCGAUCUUCGGAUUGAUAAAAAGAUAUACGUAAUGCUGAACAACUCUUAGCAAUGGAUAUCUUGGUUCUC
rnacentral:misc_RNA from 1 species